UAAUCCAAAGUUCCGUAGCUGUGGACUUGUGAUAUUGAGCAUGUGAUUAGAAGUUUCCGGUAAUUUACUGUUUGGCGAAGGCCACAGUGGGGAUUUUUCCAUGGGAAGGUUCGGGAGUAGGAGAUAGUUGAAGAAAGUGAGGCCUUUUGGUGGUGUAGGGAUGGUUGGAGAAGCAUUGUUGCCUUAGGGUUUCUGGAGAAAACUGAAGAGUGCAACAGAGGUUUCGGUUUGGUGGUUCUUUCUUUUGGGUUUUGAAGAUAAAGCCUUUGAAAUUACAAGGCAUCGGUUUCCACUCUUACAUUCGGCCCUCCUUACACAUCUUACCAGGGAUGGGUCGUUUGUGCAGAACUGCAGAUGGC
rnacentral:misc_RNA from 1 species